rnacentral:rRNA from 1 species
UACGGGGGGAGCAAGCGUUGUUCGGAAUUACUGGGCGUAAAGGGCGCGUAGGCGGCCUACUAAGUCGGACGUGAAAUCCCUCGGCUCAACCGAGGAACUGCGUCCGAUACUGGCGAGGCUUGAAUUCGGGAGAGGGAUGUGGAAUUCCAGGUGUAGCGGUGAAAUGCGUAGAUAUCUGGAGGAACACCGGUGGCGAAGGCGGCAUCCUGGACCGAGAUUGACGCUGAGGCGCGAAAGCUAGGGUAGCAAACGGG